rnacentral:misc_RNA from 1 species
GAUGAAGAACGCAGCGAAAUGCGAUACGUAAUGUGAAUUGCAAAUUCAGUGAAUCACCGAGUCUUUGAACGCACAUUGCGCCCCCUGGUAUUCCGGGGGGCAUGCCUGUCCGAGCGUCAUUGCUGCCCUCAAGCACGGCUUGUGUGUUGGGCCCCGUCCUCCGAUCCCGGGGGACGGGCCCGAAAGGCAGCGGCGGCACCGCGUCCGGUCCUCGAGCGUAUGGGGCUUUGUCACCCGCUCUGUAGGCCCGGCCGGCGCUUGCCGAUCAACCCAAAUUUUUUAUCCAGGUUGACCUCGGAUCAGGUAGGGAUACCCGCUGAACUUAAGCAUAUCAAUAAGCGGAGGA